rnacentral:misc_RNA from 1 species
GAUGAAGAACGUAGCGAAAUACGAUAAGUAAUGCGAAUUGCAGAAUUUCCGUGAGUCAUCGAAUCUUUGAACGCACAUUGCGCCCACUGGUAUUCCGGUGGGCAUGCCUGUUCGAGCGUCAUUAUCCUCCCUCAAACCUCGGGUUUGGUGUUGGACCCAAGUUGUGUGAACAACUGGUCUUAAAGACAAUGACGGCGUCCGUGGGACCCUCGGUGCAACGAGCUUUUAGGAGUACGCGUCGAGUUUCAAGGACCUUCCGGGCCGGUCUCCUUUACCAUUUUACAAGGUUGACCUCGGAUCAGGUAGGAAUACCCGCUGAACUUAAGCAUAUCAAUAAGCGGAGGA